UACGUAGGGUGCAAGCGUUGUCCGGAAUUAUUGGGCGUAAAGAGCUCGUAGGUGGUCUGUCGCGUCUGGUGUGAAAACUCAGGGCUUAACCCUGGGCCUGCAUCGGGUACGGGCAGACUAGAGUGUGGUAGGGGAGACUGGAAUUCCUGGUGUAGCGGUGAAAUGCGCAGAUAUCAGGAGGAACACCGGUGGCGAAGGCGGGUCUCUGGGCCGAUACUGACGCUGAGGAGCGAAAGCGUGGGGAGCGAACAGG
rnacentral:rRNA from 1 species